rnacentral:lncRNA from 1 species
GGCAGUAGAGGAGCAGUACAUCUCUAGCUACAACACUGAAGAUCAUUUUGUACCCUUUGAGGAUAAUUUAAAAGAAAUCAAAUCCUUCAGGUCCUUUCUCAAGGGUGCGGGGCAAACAGCGUGGCUGGAAUACACCUUGCUGUCUUGUGUUUGAAAAAAAGUCUGAAGGCGAGAUCAGGGAAUCAUCCUCGGGAUCCCCGAAUUCACAGUGGUGGAGGGCUUCUCCUGGCAAUCCCAGCCCUCCCAGAAACCACACAGAGUCUGGCCAACGUCUUUCGCCAAGCCCUUUGGUGCUCUGGUGCUUUGGGAUGAGAUUCACAGCGACGGUGGCUGGCAGGGAAAGCACGCUGCCAGAGGAAACAGAAAGAAGGGGCGAGGAUGCGGCUGUGGCUUUCCCUCCCGCUCUCUUUAAAACCCAAGUAACAUUUGUACUUUGGGGGAAGGGUGUGAAGAAAGGGAUCCAUACAGAUAGAAAGCAAAGCAAGACCCAAAACACCAGAGGGAGAAAAAAACAAGAAGAAGAAGAAGCCGGAGGACGAAGUGGAGCCUUGGUCUGGAGAAGGCCUGCAUCACAGAUAUCUGAGUAUGUCUUUGGUGAUGUGCACCCCUCAGCUUGGAGGAGGCAGAAUUUGGAAGAGCAGGUGAAGUGUUCAGACGGAAGCUGGCGAGACCUCCACAAAAGGGAAGGAACCGAAGGCUGCAAGAGAAGCUGAACCAGGCACCAGCCAAGGGUGAGGUUCCAUUCUGCCUUCUUUGCCAAAGAUCUGGACUCCAUAAAUGGCAGAGGAGAGGAGCGUGCAUCAGACCACAAACUCUGCAAGAAGGUUCCAACCAGGCAAGGCCUAAAUCAGAUGCCUUUGAAAUUUCUGCAUACACAUACGUCCCUUUUUGUAAACUAACACCAAUCAUAAUCUACUCUGCAGUGCACAACGCAUCUAAAAAGCACCCACAUUUAUUCUGGGUAAAUCCUGCUAGUCUUUUACACUCUUGCAGUGAUGAGCUUAUUGACUCAAGAAGAUCCAUCUACAUUGCUGAUGUAAACCCAGAGACAAGCGUCCGGGAAGUUGUCUCAACACUGUAAGAGUUCUGUGUUUCAAAUUUCAAAAAAUAAACACGUAUUGUUUUGUGAAUGUGAUAAAAGCUUAAGCUUGGUGUCUACCUAAUUUUAAACAGGAUGUCGAUCUGAAUAAAAUUGUAAACAU